AGCUGCUGGACGCUGCACAAGAU
rnacentral:miRNA from 15 species